UGAAACAUAAUCCCUUAUAAUACCGCUCGUUUUUAUGAAGCUUAUCAAUGCUGCCUGGGUGGCGAAAUUGGUAGACGCAGCGGAUU
rnacentral:tRNA from 1 species